UUAUCUGACUAUUUCUACUAUACACUAAGAUUCUUAUCUACAACAGAGCUUGCUUUUGUCCUUUACCAGCUCUGUUACCUUCUCUCCAUGAGUUCAUUCACUUGCAAAAUUUGAUCUGCCAGAUCCAAAUGCAAGUUCGUGUAUCAUAAUUUAGCUAAAAUAUGAGCUCACGAAUAGCAAUAUCAAUGGGUCCAUCAUCCCCACCAACCGCAUGAAGCGCAACAGGAAUUGUUGAAAGAAGAUGCACAGUGACGGGGAAGACUAAAGGGUCAAUCUCACACUCUGAAACAGGAUCUACAUGUUGGGAUGCCAAAUUAUUCUUGUCUAAAUGUGUGGGACUGCACUCAUUUGCAAUCUUUCCAACUGCGCCAGGUUCCACAUUCAGGUUGCAUGGAUUUACAACCCAUGCAAUCUCAUUAAGUGCCCUGUAAUUACCAAGGCCAGCCCUUCUAAAUGUUCGUUUGUAGGCACAUAAAUUUAGCACCAAUGUUGAUGUAGCCUCAAGCCAUUCCACUGUCAAGCCUUCAACUUCCUCAUAAUAUAUCCUCCGUUCAAUAGCUAGUUUUUGGAUAUAAAUGGACAUAAACCUUGGUCCAAGACCCAAAACUCUUGCUUCUGACAAUAAAACCUCUUUCUUCCUCAGCAAAACCCACAUGUAUAGCUUAUCACAGGCAUCCUUUACAUGCCUACUAGCAAGCUUUCUAUCAUUGCAGUAAGAAGCAACAGCUGCAAGUAACUCCGUGCAGGGAACUUUAUACUUGAUUGCUGCAGCUGAUAAUGCUUCCUUGCCUUCCAAGGAUUCUGCUGCAUCUUUAUCAAAGUAAAUACCAGU
rnacentral:misc_RNA from 1 species